GGGCGUGUCACCUCCAUAGUGACGUCAGCGUCUGCGCUCUGCACCGUCCAGCGAUAGUCAACGAUGUGGGCGUGGCCGACGGCCAGGCUCUCGAUGCCGUUCAGGGUAACGGUGGCUCCGGGCUGAACCACCCGGUCACGGCCCGCGUUGGCGAUGGGCGGAGCCUGCUCAGCUGAGGGGGGGGUGACAGUGACACGUGACCAACUUGUUUUCAUCAGCUCAGCAUGCAGCAACUUGCAACGUUUGUCUCCAGCAUCAGCGCAGGCGCAGAUCUAUCCCGUCUAGGGCUACCUCUCCUCGGGUACACUCACCUGGUCCCAGCGGGCCUUCCAGGUACUUCCGGUACUCGGCCUCUCUGAUGAAGCUGCGGUAGCCCUGCCGCUUGACGAACCUGCACACGAAGUGGUUCCUGUGCACGCAGUCGUAGAGCGUACACGUGAGGUUGCCGCGCGCGUCACGCGGCUCCAUCAGCGCCACGUUACAUCUGAACUCUGCGCAGCACGCGCGCCGGCAGUCGGCCAUUGUGGGAGAGUCAGCGACAGCCAACAGCACCGCACCCUCCUUCACCGCGUCCUCCAAAUCCAGCACGAAGUCGUCCUGACCGGACCGGAAGCUGGCCAAGCAGUUGGCGUCCUCGGCCGCACCGCCGUCCCGCAGCAGGACGAGGAGGAAGAGGAAGAGGAAGACGCACCGGAACAAUGACCCCGCCCUGCUCAGUGACGUCACACAGCUGGUUUCCUAGGAUGACUUUUCUCUCCACUCCAUCCUCCGAAAUGGAAGCCAGUCUGAUCACGCCACCGCUGGAACCAUCCCUCUCCAUCGCAAGGGAUAAUGCUGAGGUUGGAGUCCAUGAAGCCGUAAAUAUACGAACUGCCACUGCCGCCAACAGACACCGGCUGCCUCACCAGCAUCCCACCAAUAGGAACGCAGUACACCUGACACAAAGACACUUGUUGAUUACUGCCGCUGCAACAGUGUAGUGUAGUGUCGUGGUGGGCAAGCUCACGGUGCAAUGAAACCAAAACAACACAUCCACACUAAGUUACUGCAUCACGUAAAUCAAAUACUAACCAUGACUGAGCGCUAAACACAACUUCAAACUUACUUUCAAAUGCCCACGAGGCAUGCUGGGUAGUCCAGUGGCAACAACAAUAUGAACGAUGAACAACAAAACAGUGGAUAUGGAGAGUAUAUGGAGAGUUAUAUUUCUGACGACAUCCACGUAUUUGGAAAUCAAGCCAAAAUGUGAGAAACCAUACCCAGCAUGCCUUGCGGCUGAAUUAUGGCCACAUGGUGCAGUAGGUAGGCAAGUUUUGUGCAUUGUGUGUGUUGCCGUGUUGUUUGAGGUGUGCCACAGUUACAGUUUCAAUGUUAAAGGGUUAAAAAAAAGGAAUUUGGAAAUGCCUGGUGGCCUGGAUGAAUACGUUUUGCAGGCCGCAGUUUGCCCACCCUGGUGUAGUGUAGUGUCUGGAUGCCACGUACAAUAUUGCAGUACAAUAAUGGGCCGUUUUGGUCCACCCAGCAAGGGACAACACACCUGUACAGACCACAGUCUUGCAAUUCAGUUUGCACCGAGUGCGUUGGUGUGAGUGCACGCACUGGUGAACGGCCCUCUCCACACGUAAUGUCCUAUAUCCUAAACAGUUUAUAUUGCAAGUGAGAAACAGUCUGCCUAAAAGCUGAUGAAAAUUGAAAAAAAAAUACCUGGAACACCUUAGAUUUUAAUUGCAGUUUUAUGCUUCAUUAAAAAAACUCAAAAGCAAAGCAGUUUUAUUUUGCAUUGUGUUCCCUUACCCUACCGGUAAGUACAUACCAAAACAUGAGGAUGAUGUACCCCUGCACCCCUAGCGUGGUGUAGUAUAGUGUGUUGCUUUACCUGUCCACCCUUCCUCUUGUCCCAGCCUGCCACCAGUAUGCCAGCCAUCAGUUCUUCCCUGUAGCG